GAUCCUGGCUCAGGAUGAACGCUGGCGGCGUGCCUAACACAUGCAAGUCGAGCGAAGCACUUUGCUUAGAUUCUUCGGAUGAAGAGGAUUGUGACUGAGCGGCGGACGGGUGAGUAACGCGUGGGUAACCUGCCUCAUACAGGGGGAUAACAGUUAGAAAUGACUGCUAAUACCGCAUACACGACCACAGCCACCGCAGUGGUGGGAACGGGGUAAAACUCGGUGUAUGAGAGUCCGG
rnacentral:rRNA from 1 species